rnacentral:rRNA from 1 species
UGCCAGACUCCUACGGGAGGCAGCAGUGGGGAAUAUUGCACAAUGGGGGGAACCCUGAUGCAGCGACGCCGCGUGAGUGAAGAAGUAUUUCGGUAUGUAAAGCUCUAUCAGCAGGGAAGAAAAUGACGGUACCUGACUAAGAAGCCCCGGCUAACUACGUGCCAGCAGCCGCGGUAAUACGUAGGGGGCAAGCGUUAUCCGGAUUUACUGGGUGUAAAGGGAGCGUAGACGGCAGAGCAAGUCUGAAGUGAAAGCCCGCGGCCCAACUGCGGGACUGCUUUGGAAACUGCCCGGCUGGAGUGCAGGAGGGGCAGGCGGAAUUCCUGGUGUAGCGGUGAAAUGCGUAGAUAUCAGGAGGAACACCGGUGGCGAAGGCGGCCUGCCGGACUGCGACUGACGUUGAGGCCCGAAAGCGUGGGGAGCAAACAGGAUUAGAUACCCCUGUAC